AGUGAACGCUGGCGGUAUGCCUAACACAUGCAAGUCGAACGGCAGCACAGUAAGCGCUUGCUCUUACGUGUGGCGAGUGGCGGACGGGUGAGGAAUACAUCGGAAUCUACUUUUUCGGGGGGGAUAACGUAGGGAAACUUACGCUAAUACCUCAUACGACCUACGGGUGAAAGCAGGGGAUCUUCGGACCUUGCGCGAGUGAAUGAGCCGAUGUCGGAUUAGCUAGUUGGCGGGGUAAAGGCCCACCAAGGCGACGAUCCGUAGCUGGUCUGGGAGGAUGGUCAGCCACACUGGAACUGAGACACGGUCGAGACUCCUACGGGAGGCAGCAGUGGGGAAUAUUGGACAAUGGGCGCAAGCCUGAUCCAGCCAUACCGCGUGCGUGAAGAAGGCCUUCGGGUUGUAAAGCCCUUUUGUUGGGAAAGAAAAGCAGCAGGUUAAUACCCCGCUGUUCUGCCGGUACCCAAAGAAUAAGCACCGGCUAACUUCGUG
rnacentral:rRNA from 1 species